rnacentral:tRNA from 1 species
AAGAGAAAAAUAAGGAAGCUGCUAACUUUCUAUCAGAUAAUUUAAAAUCAUUCUCUUA